rnacentral:tRNA from 1 species
GGCCUGGUAGUUCAGUUGGUUAGGGUUAGAAUGCCAGCCUGUCACGCUGGAGGUCGAGGGUUCGAGCCCCUUCCAGGUCGCCA